rnacentral:rRNA from 1 species
UACGAAGGGGACUAGCGUUGUUCGGAAUUACUGGGCGUAAAGCGUGCGCAGGCGGCCUUCCAAGUCAGGGGUGAAAGCCCAGAGCUCAACUCUGGAAUUGCCUUUGAGACUGUGAGGCUUGAGUACGGGAGAGGUGAGUGGAAUUCCCAGUGUAGAGGUGAAAUUCGUAGAUAUUGGGAAGAACACCGGUGGCGAAGGCGGCUCACUGGCCCGUAACUGACGCUCAUGCACGACAGCGUGGGGAUCAAACAGG